AACGAACGCUGGCGGCAUGCCUAACACAUGCAAGUCGAACGAGAUCUUCGGGUCUAGUGGCGCACGGGUGCGUAACGCGUGGGAAUCUGCCCUUUGGUUCGGAAUAACAGUUGGAAACGACUGCUAAUACCGGAUGAUGACGAAAGUCCAAAGAUUUAUCGCCAGAGGAUGAGCCCGCGUAGGAUUAGCUAGUUGGUGUGGUAAAGGCGCACCAAGGCGACGAUCCUUAGCUGGUCUGAGAGGAUGAUCAGCCACACUGGGACUGAGACACGGCCCAGACUCCUACGGGAGGCAGCAGUGGGGAAUAUUGGACAAUGGGCGAAAGUCUGAUCCAGCAAUGCCGCGUGAGUGAUGAAGGCCUUAGGGUUGUAAAGCUCUUUUACCCGGGAUGAUAAUGACAGUACCGGGAGAAUAGCUCCGGCUAACUCCGUGCCAGCCGCCGCAGUAACAC
rnacentral:rRNA from 1 species